UUUGUGCAUAAAUAUUCUUAACUAAACAUCCAUAACAUGGAAUAUCCUAAAAUAUAUCUAGUUAUUUUCACAAUCAUAUGUGUAAUGUACUUAGGUAUAUAUCAUAGGUUGGUAAUUCUAAUGUUAACACGCCCUCUAGAUUGAGACUGUGCACGGUCACUUUGUCUCCUUAACUGUCGCUUCCCAUUUUAUUCCACGGAAUCAUUCUCGUGUUCUAACGUGACUUUCAAUUCGUUUUAAAAUAAGAGCUGCCAUUCAUCUUUGUUCAGUAUUAAGCGUAAUAGACGUUAAAUUACACGAACGUUAGCCAUUACCUUGUCACUUGUAUCCUACACAUUGCGCGAUCCAUUGCCGUUAGCUUCGCGAAGAUUUGCAUUGAAGAGAAUCGUGAUAAAGGGGAGCUUUAUGAAGGUGCUGCGAAUUACUCAUAAUAAAAAUUCGCUAUAAUUUCGUCAUAUGGAAAAAAUAUUAUAGCUAAUUAAAACGGAGAGGCGAUUAUCUAUAAACGAAACACUCGUCAAAUACCGAGCACGAUAUUUCCAGUGAAUUGGUCUAGUAUCUUGGCAAAUUUCAAUUUGAAAAUAAAAUAAGAAAAAAAAGAAAGAAAAAAUUUCAUCGAUGAUUCGAUUUUGUUACAUCCAUAUUUGAAACGAACAACAAUAAAUUUGUGGUUGUGUGUGUGUGUUUUUUUUCGUAUCAAUUAGGAUUAUUUUUCUUUCUGUGACUCGACUUUGGAGUUUGAUAAAUGACUGAACUUUGUUUUGGGACAAGAAGAAGUAUUUGUUGAAUUUGAAGAAUAUUACUAAUAAUUUUUGAAAUUAGAAAAUGUUAAAUUUUGUUGAAAGAAAAAGUAUUUAUUUUAUUUUUAGAAUGCAUAGAUAUAGGUAUGAUUGUUAUUUAACUGUAUAGUUUUAGAUAUCUGCAAAAAGGAUUUUACAUAUAUAUAUUUUUUAGUUUGUUUAGUAUGAAUUUUGAUAAAAGAGAUUUUACUAAGCUUCCAAAAUAAUAUAAAUUAUAUUAUUUUUUCAAAUUAAAAAAUAAACUUGGUAUCUUAAUCUUAUUCUAAUUAUCAAAGUGAUUAAUAA